GACGAACGCUGGCGGCGUGCUUAACACAUGCAAGUCGAACGGAAAGGCCCUGCUUUUGUGGGGUGCUCGAGUGGCGAACGGGUGAGUAACACGUGAGUAACCUGCCCUUGACUUUGGGAUAACUUCAGGAAACUGGGGCUAAUACCGGAUAGGAGCUCCUGCUGCAUGGUGGGGGUGGGAAAGUUUCGGCGGUUGGGGAUGGACUCGCGGCUUAUCAGCUUGUUGGUGGGGUAGUGGCUUACCAAGGCUUUGACGGGUAGCCGGCCUGAGAGGGUGACCGGCCACAUUGGGACUGAGGUACGGCCCAGACUCCUACGGGAGGCAGCAGUGGGGAAUAUUGCACAAUGGGCGGAAGCCUGAUGCAGCAACGCCGCGUGCGGGAUGCCGGCCUUCGGGUUGUAAACCGCUUUCGCCUGUGACGAAGCGUGAGUGACGGUAAUGGGUAAAGAAGCACCGGCUAACUACGUG
rnacentral:rRNA from 1 species